CUCCACUUCAACAAGGCUGCCCCACUUGUAGGCUUCUAACAAGGAAUGCACCACACUCUGGAUGUGGGUGCAGAGAAGAUGGCUGGCUGGAUCCAGGGUUUUAAUGUUUCCAGGACAAGAGCAUGGGAACAACUAUCUCCUGGAAUGGCCCUUCCACAGGAAGAGAGAAGGAUGCAUGGCACAGAGGAAGGAUGGGGCACCUGGAUUCAAAAUCUGCUUCCACCA